rnacentral:tRNA from 1 species
GUCGAGAGGUUAGAGCACAUGACUCCCACACCCAUGGUUCCGGGUUCGAAUC